rnacentral:rRNA from 1 species
UACGGAGGGGGCUAGCGUUGUUCGGAAUUACUGGGCGUAAAGCGCACGUAGGCGGCUUUGUAAGUUAGGGGUGAAAGCCCGGAGCUCAACUCCGGAAUUGCCUUUAAGACUGCAUCGCUUGAAUCCGGGAGAGGUGAGUGGAAUUCCGAGUGUAGAGGUGAAAUUCGUAGAUAUUCGGAAGAACACCAGUGGCGAAGGCGGCUCACUGGACCGGUAUUGACGCUGAGGAGCGAAAGCGUGGGGAGCGAACAGG